UCGAAGUCGUCCUUCCGAGUUUGGUGGGAGUUUCAGUGAUGGCGACGCUCUGUAGGAGAGCGAUAUCACGAGCGCCGUCGUAAGGACUUACACCCGUGAGGAGGGAGUACAUAACUCUCCUUCUCCAGACCUCAGCUUUUAUUUCUCUUUCCCUCCAACUCGUUGACGUAAGACUUGGGCUACUACUUUUCACUGGUUGCCCCCACAUCCUACGUCGUUGCAGCGGGAGCCAUGCCUGAUUCGAGAUGGCUCGGGAGAAAGUUUCUUCCUCUGCUUAACGUGAACCCGUGGAGGCGGCACAGGAGGGGCCUCCACUUGUUGCAGGCUUUGGGCUGCAAUGGCUAGCGCUUGGACUUGCUGCACUAGCGCUUGGAUUCUGGACUGAGCGUCCGGAGCUUGGAGCAUGAUGCCGGGAGGUAUCAGAGACUCCUCUGCUCUUAGUUUCAUGGCCACAAUUCGGUCCCUACCUCUAGCGCCAACUGUUGCUGGAAAUUGGACCCGGAGGCGACCGCGGACCGAGGAG
rnacentral:lncRNA from 1 species